UCCAUUGAUGAGAUGGCUUUUCGUAUUUCUAUGUCACACGGUGUUUUAGCUGGUCCCUCGGAAGCAAAAUGACAGUCACACUGGAGCUCCCCGGCUGGGGUUUCUGAGUCACGGAACCCUAACAGCUUUGAAGAAGGGGUGACUCAUGACCCUCAAGUAUACAGCUUGUGUCAGAUUUCCUGAAAAAUCAAUGGAACGAAUGAGGAUUUGCUGGAGAGAGACUGAAGAUUGGUGAGAAAGUCUAGGAUUAGGGAGACUGCUAGAAGCGUGGGGUUUUGGCCUGAAGUUCCAAGCAGUCAUUUAGCCUUUGGUCACUGCGGGGUAGGUCGGGGCGGGAGUUACUUGUGAAGAGUUCUGGGUGAUUAUGGAACACAGUGGCCCAGAAGCUGCAGCUGAGACCCAGAAAUACCACCGUUCCUGGUCCAGCCCGAGGCCCCUGGGCUCUGGGGUGACAAACAUCAGGAGAGGGUUACCAGUCAAACAAGGAAUCCCAUUUUUAUGCACAAAGGAUGGAUAUAAAACAAUGGGCUGAAACUUCCAGUCAGUGCUGUAUGGGUCCAUGGAGUUAAGUAAUGACUCAAUAGUGGAACUGGGGUUGAUGAUCUUAUAAGAAAGACUUGGAUGCAAAGACUGAAGGUUAAAAAUUUAGUGGACAUGUUCUAGGGGCAAACUCAAGCUCACAUAAGGAAAAAGGAAAAUCAAAGCAUAGAAAUAUUUGCGGUCUCAGGAAAAACAUGUAAAAUAUGCCCAGCAUCUGGCCAUCCCCAGCAGACUUUUUCCUGCUGUCAAUGUACCCUUUCCUGUCCCCCCAAGAUUAUGAGAACGACAUCCGGGAGAGGUGUGAUAAGGGCAGGCUGCUUUGAAGCGGAACCUUCUCCAUUUUUUUUUUUUUUUUGACUCUUCUGAAGAGGCACUGUCAUCUUGGAAAUACAAAACCUACAGGCUGGAGACAUCAAGAGAUCAUGGGGGGUCUUUAGCAAGGACCAUGGAGGGGCUUUUCCUUGUUCCAAAGGACCCCCUGAAGCUCUACAUAAAUGCUAUUGAGUAAAUUCUUUUUGAC
rnacentral:lncRNA from 1 species